rnacentral:rRNA from 1 species
GAUGAACGCUGGCGGCGUGCCUAACACAUGCAAGUCGAACGAAGCUCCCCGAAUUGAGUUUUCGGACAAGAGGAAGGGAUGACUUAGUGGCGGACGGGUGAGUAACGCGUGAGCAACCUGCCUCGGAGUGGGGGACAACAGUUGGAAACGACUGCUAAUACCGCAUAACGUGCAGAGGGGACAUCUCCUUUGCACCAAAGAUUUAUUGCUCUGAGAUGGGCUCACGUCUGAUUAGUUAGUUGGUAGGGUAACGGCCUACCAAGACUGCGAUCAGUAGCCGGACUGAGAGGUCGAACGGCCACAUUGGGACUGAGAUACGGCCCAGACUCCUACGGGAGGCAGCAGUGGGGAAUUUUGGACAAUGGGCGCAAGCCUGAUCCAGCCAUUCCGCGUGCAGGAUGAAGGCCUUCGGUUGUAACUGCUUUGUACGGUACGAACGGACGAGCUCUAAUACAGUUGCUAAUGACGGUACCGUAACGAAUAAGACACCGGCUAACUACGUG